GGAAGGAGAAGCGCAUGUCUUUUAAUUUUAUUAUUUUUUUUUAAUUUAUUUUUCUAAAAAUUUUAAAAAACUUUUAAAACUUUACAUAUUGACCCCAAAUCCACAUUAUUCUAAUUUCCUCUAAAUAGCUAUUCUUCCACCGUUCCCUCUGUUCACUAGAGCAUCGCCAUCCGUGAUCGCCGUUCGCCGCCCGCCGUUCAGUCCGUCACCGCCGCCGUCGUCGUCCUUUUUCCUCUCCACCUUUGUUGAUUUAGGGCUUCUUUUUAUCGUCACUGGUUUCUCUUCUACUGAAUGAAAUGACUUGCACAUUGGAUCCAGUCUCUAAAGUCUCCAUGGGGUAUGACGAGUAGAAGUGGCCUUAGCAACAGUGGAAGCCGAUGUCAUUUAUAAUCCUAACAUCUUGGCAUACAAAACAAUACGGUAAGACGUGAAGGAUAUUGGAUUUGAAGCUAUGCUCAUCAGUGAUCACCACUGCCAAAGAUUGGUGCAAAAUCCAUCUUCAAGUCGAUUGUGUGAACACGCAUAAUUCCAUGAGAAUAAUUGAGAUCUCCCUUAAAGUAUUGUCGUGAAAAAACUAUGUCUUUGUAUAAAUGUGCAGAAGUGGUUCUUUGUUAUGUUUUUGUUACAGGUUUAGACUAGAUUGUUGUAAAGAUUAUGAAAUUGAAGUAGACUCACAAUUAUGAGAAAUUAUUAAUGCAAUAGAAGUUGGUUCAAAUUGUUUUCGGCAUUUGUUAUUUUAUUGGAAUGAAAAUAUUGUUGAA